rnacentral:rRNA from 1 species
GAUGAACGCUGGCGGCGUGCCUAAUACAUGCAAGUCGAGCGGACAGAUGGGGACUUUGCUCCUCUCCCGUUAGCGGCGGCGGGGUGAGAAACCCGUGGCUACCCUCCUUAUAAGCCUGGGAUACUUUCGGGAAACCGGAGCAAAUCCCGGUAACUCUUUUGCUCCCCAUAGUUCAAUCGUAAAAGUCGGUUUUGGUUUCCCUUAUCGAUUGAUCCCCGCCGCAUUAGCUAGUUGGUAAGGUAACGGCUUACCAAGGCGACGAUGCGUAGCCGACCUGAGAGGGUGAUCGGCCACACUGGAACUGAGACACGGUCCAGACUCCUACGGGAGGCAGCAGUAGGGAAUCUUCCGCAAUGGGCGAAAGCCUGACGGAGCAACGCCGCGUGAGUGAUGAAGGUCUUCGGAUCGUAAAACUCUGUUGUUAGGGAAGAACAAGUGUCGAAGUAACUGUGCACGUCUUGACGGUACCUAAUCAGAAAGCCACGGCUAACUACGUG